CCUACGGGUGGCAGCAGUAGGGAAUAUUGCUCAAUGGGGGAAACCCUGAAGCAGCAACGCCGCGUGGAGGAUGAAGGUUUUCGGAUUGUAAACUCCUUUUGUUAGAGAAGAUAAUGACGGUAUCUAACGAAUAAGCACCGGCUAACUCCGUGCCAGCAGCCGCGGUAAUACGGGGGGUGCAAGCGUUACUCGGAAUCACUGGGCGAAAAGAGGGCGAAGGCGGGAUAGCAAGUCAGAUGUGAAAUCCUAUGGCUUAACCAUAGAACUGCAUUUGAAACUGUUAUUCUAGGGUAUGGGAGGGUUAGGGGGAAUUCUGGGGGUGGGGUUAAAAUCGGUGGGAAUCAAGGGAAAUACUGAUGGGGAGGGGGACCU
rnacentral:rRNA from 1 species